AUUGCUGUCAUGACAGAUCUAUUUCAGUUCAGUUCCAGAUUUGGCCCACGGGCCGCCUGUUGCCGACCACUGCCAUAGAGGGUUAAAUUCCACUAACAUUAAAUGAUGUUUCAUAAACAAAUUUUGGGAGGAGCAUGCACGGAUAAUUAACACGUCCAGUUCAUGAUUAGUGAUUACACCAUUUACCAAUCAGCUCAAAAAGGAAACACCUAUAAAUAAUCAAGUACGUCCUACCUUCAUUAUCGCUCGACUUUCAGCAUUUGGUUCGCUCUGUUGCCAUCUUAUCACAGACCCAAUUUUCUGUCCAACGACGAGAUCUAUACCUGGGAUUUUUUCAGAUCUGCCGCAUUUACCGUCCCCCUGAUAACUCCUACCCCGCCAAACACGGCCACAAAGCACCAGGCGUUAUUGCGACAAUUGUUGAGAGGAUGGCAGCACGAGUGUCUUGUUCGCUGAUGGCUGUUUUGUUGUGUCUUGCCAAAGGACCUGUCACAGGAGCCGUUGAUUUGGAAAAAACUGUGUUUUUUACCAUCAG